GUAUUACUCCCUCCGUCCCAAAAUUCUUGUCUUAGAUUUAUCUAGAUACAGAUGUAUCCCAAAAUUCUUGUCUUAGAUUUAUCUAGAUACGGAUGUAUCAUACAUCCGUAUCUAGAUAAAUCUAAGACAAGAAUUUUGGGAUGGAGGAAGUAUUUC
rfam:Triticum urartu cultivar G1812 contig97729, whole genome shotgun sequence.